UUUUUUUGUUCAUAGUUUUUAUCAGAUCUCCGGUUCUAAUCUAUACAAUUUCGCAAUAUUCUUGAUUCCAGCUUAUGAAAUUUCUCUGUGUUUAGGAGCUACUGCCGUAGAUUUAUUGUAGCGCUUUUUCUGAUGUUUUGAUCGUUUGUUUAAUUUCUCACUGUUUUGGAGUUCCCUGCUGUAGAUUUAUUGUAGAGCUAUUUCUCAUGUUUUGAUUUUUGAUAUAUUUUUUACAAUGUUUAUAUCUCACGAAUGAGAGAAUUAACAAUCGUUACAUAUUGCUUUAUCUUUAUAUAUGUUCCAUCAGGCUAGAUCCAUAUUUGAAACUUCUUUUGUACCUUUUACUGUUUCUCAUCUUGAGCAAAUCUCAGCAUUAAUGUGUUCGUCUGUUAUAUUCAGGCCACUAUCAGUGUCCACCGGCUGGAGACCCACCGGUCUUGCCUAAAAGAUGGUUCGGUUUAUUCACUGACCGGGUUUGAUGCUGCUCAGUGUAACCCAAAUUAUCGUCUCUCGGAUUCUUCCUUGCUCAUACGUUUCAACGAGUCAACUUCUUUCGAGGAUGUUACCGAUCCAGCUGCUUGGGCUCGCUAACACUAACCAUCAGCUUCUAGACCUCAUUGGUGAGAUCACUGCUGUGAAGAGCACUGUCACCGACCCUCCUCAGGACAAGAACCGGGUUAUGGGUACCAUCGAGAUGGACAAUGGCACGUCGGUGACCAUGAGCUUCUUCGACACUCAGGCUGUUGGUAUUCAUAAUCAGUUAGAGAAGAUGAGAGUUGAUCCAAGAGUUGUGGUUGCAACUAGCAUCAACCAGAAGAUGGUGGGCGGGCGCCUGUUUUGAAUGCCACCUCUGGCACACAUGUUUUCUUCGACAAAGAGACAUCAGCAGGGGAGAGUCUCUUCAACAGGCUGGUUGAACAGGACACUGGGGUCAGGCCAGCCGCUCCACUGCUGAGGUCCUAUGCAAAGGUUGAAUCGCUGAGCAUAGCUGAGCUCAAUAAUUUUGUCAUAACCGCUCCCUCUCAGGAUAUUGACUUCAUCUGUAACUGGAGAGUGACUGGAAUCAAGAUGGAUAAGGGUUGGUGCUAUGUCUCUUGCUCAAACUGUGCCAAGAAACUUCAGAGCACAGCCUCAUCUUUCACAUGUGUGCCUUGCAAUAAUUCUAACGCAGUGGGUAUCCUCCGAUAUCGUGUUGAGAUAUCUGUUGCAGACGAGACUGGCGAAGGGUUGUUUGUUUGCUUCGAUGGGGUUAUAUGACAAAGCUCCAUAACAUGAGGGCCUAUGAGGCCGGGCAUCUGUUGGCUGGUGAUGGUGUAAAUCCGGAGGAAGCUGAGGCCCCUCCUUUUGUUAGAGAGAUGGAGGGAAAGACAUACAAAAUUCCAGGUGAGGGUGAGCGCAUUCAAUUUCACAGCUAAUCAUCAGACCUUUACCAUCUCCCGCAUAAUCAGCCAGGGUGACCGCUUGCCCCACCCUGAGGGGGUGACGAUGACAAUGGAGAUGAUAACGUCGGUGGCAGUUCAAAGAAUGUGAAGGUGAAAGCUGGUGGUAGUAGCAAUGUCGAUGGAGCUGCUGGGAAGGUGAAGAAGGCACGCAAGGCCUAGGUGAAGCCGACGAGUGCUGGAGUUGCUGUUUGAGUGGUUUUCCCAAAUAAUAAGUUGUUUCAGAAUGCUUAUUUGGUUUUAUUAGUUUCUGUCUCUGGUCAACAAUUUGGUCGUUUUUUUUUUGCUUAGGUUGAUAGGGGCUUCAGGCAAAUGUAAAUAGUGCCUUUCAAUAAUUUAUUUUGUAUUAAAAUAUAACUUAAAAUAUUUAUAUACAAACAGAGAUUUAGCGGUGUC